rnacentral:rRNA from 1 species
UACCAGCACCCCGAGUGGUCGGGACGAUUAUUGGGCCUAAAGCAUCCGUAGCCGGUCCUACAAGUCUUCCGUUAAAUCCACCUGCUUAACAGAUGGGCUGCGGAAGAUACUAUAGAGCUAGGAGGCGGGAGAGGCAAGCGGUACUCGAUGGAUAGGGGUAAAAUCCGUUGAUCCAUUGAAGACCACCAGUGGCGAAGGCGGCUUGCCAGAACGCGCUCGACGGUGAGGGAUGAAAGCUGGGGGAGCAAACCGG